GGUUAAGCGACUAAGCGUACACGGUGGAUGCCCUGGCAGUCAGAGGCGAUGAAGGACGUGCUAAUCUGCGAUAAGCGUCGGUAAGGUGAUAUGAACCGUUAUAACCGGCGAUUUCCGAAUGGGGAAACCCAGUGUGAUUCGUCACACUAUCAUUAACUGAAUCCAUAGGUUAAUGAGGCGAACCGGGGGAACUGAAACAUCUAAGUACCCCGAGGAAAAGAAAUCAACCGAGAUUCCCCCAGUAGCGGCGAGCGAACGGGGAGCAGCCCAGAGCCUGAAUCAGUGUGUGUGUUAGUGGAAGCGUCUGGAAAGGCGUGCGAUACAGGGUGACAGCCCCGUACACAAAAAUGCACAUAUUGUGAGCUCGAUGAGUAGGGCGGGACACGUGGUAUCCUGUCUGAAUAUGGGGGGACCAUCCUCCAAGGCUAAAUACUCCUGACUGACCGAUAGUGAACCAGUACCGUGAGGGAAAGGCGAAAAGAACCCCGGCGAGGGGAGUGAAAAAGAACCUGAAACCGUGUACGUACAAGCAGUGGGAGCCUCUUUUAUGGGGUGACUGCGUACCUUUUGUAUAAUGGGUCAGCGACUUAUAUUCUGUAGCAAGGUUAACCGAAUAGGGGAGCCGAAGGGAAACCGAGUCUUAACUGGGCGUUAAGUUGCAGGGUAUAGACCCGAAACCCGGUGAUCUAGCCAUGGGCAGGUUGAAGGUUGGGUAACACUAACUGGAGGACCGAACCGACUAAUGUUGAAAAAUUAGCGGAUGACUUGUGGCUGGGGGUGAAAGGCCAAUCAAACCGGGAGAUAGCUGGUUCUCCCCGAAAGCUAUUUAGGUAGCGCCUCGUGAAUUCAUCUCCGGGGGUAGAGCACUGUUUCGGCAAGGGGGUCAUCCCGACUUACCAACCCGAUGCAAACUGCGAAUACCGGAGAAUGUUAUCACGGGAGACACACGGCGGGUGCUAACGUCCGUCGUGAAGAGGGAAACAACCCAGACCGCCAGCUAAGGUCCCAAAGUCAUGGUUAAGUGGGAAACGAUGUGGGAAGGCCCAGACAGCCAGGAUGUUGGCUUAGAAGCAGCCAUCAUUUAAAGAAAGCGUAAUAGCUCACUGGUCGAGUCGGCCUGCGCGGAAGAUGUAACGGGGCUAAACCAUGCACCGAAGCUGCGGCAGCGACGCUUAUGCGUUGUUGGGUAGGGGAGCGUUCUGUAAGCCUGUGAAGGUGUGCUGUGAGGCAUGCUGGAGGUAUCAGAAGUGCGAAUGCUGACAUAAGUAACGAUAAAGCGGGUGAAAAGCCCGCUCGCCGGAAGACCAAGGGUUCCUGUCCAACGUUAAUCGGGGCAGGGUGAGUCGACCCCUAAGGCGAGGCCGAAAGGCGUAGUCGAUGGGAAACAGGUUAAUAUUCCUGUACUUGGUGUUACUGCGAAGGGGGGACGGAGAAGGCUAUGUUGGCCGGGCGACGGUUGUCCCGGUUUAAGCGUGUAGGCUGGUUUUCCAGGCAAAUCCGGAAAAUCAAGGCUGAGGCGUGAUGACGAGGCACUACGGUGCUGAAGCAACAAAUGCCCUGCUUCCAGGAAAAGCCUCUAAGCAUCAGGUAACAUCAAAUCGUACCCCAAACCGACACAGGUGGUCAGGUAGAGAAUACCAAGGCGCUUGAGAGAACUCGGGUGAAGGAACUAGGCAAAAUGGUGCCGUAACUUCGGGAGAAGGCACGCUGAUAUGUAGGUGAAGUCCCUUGCGGAUGGAGCUGAAAUCAGUCGAAGAUACCAGCUGGCUGCAACUGUUUAUUAAAAACACAGCACUGUGCAAACACGAAAGUGGACGUAUACGGUGUGACGCCUGCCCGGUGCCGGAAGGUUAAUUGAUGGGGUCAGCGCAAGCGAAGCUCUUGAUCGAAGCCCCGGUAAACGGCGGCCGUAACUAUAACGGUCCUAAGGUAGCGAAAUUCCUUGUCGGGUAAGUUCCGACCUGCACGAAUGGCGUAAUGAUGGCCAGGCUGUCUCCACCCGAGACUCAGUGAAAUUGAACUCGCUGUGAAGAUGCAGUGUACCCGCGGCAAGACGGAAAGACCCCGUGAACCUUUACUAUAGCUUGACACUGAACAUUGAGCCUUGAUGUGUAGGAUAGGUGGGAGGCUUAGAAGUGUGGACGCCAGUCUGCAUGGAGCCGACCUUGAAAUACCACCCUUUAAUGUUUGAUGUUCUAACGUUGACCCGUAAUCCGGGUUGCGGACAGUGUCUGGUGGGUAGUUUGACUGGGGCGGUCUCCUCCUAAAGAGUAACGGAGGAGCACGAAGGUUGGCUAAUCCUGGUCGGACAUCAGGAGGUUAGUGCAAUGGCAUAAGCCAGCUUGACUGCGAGCGUGACGGCGCGAGCAGGUGCGAAAGCAGGUCAUAGUGAUCCGGUGGUUCUGAAUGGAAGGGCCAUCGCUCAACGGAUAAAAGGUACUCCGGGGAUAACAGGCUGAUACCGCCCAAGAGUUCAUAUCGACGGCGGUGUUUGGCACCUCGAUGUCGGCUCAUCACAUCCUGGGGCUGAAGUAGGUCCCAAGGGUAUGGCUGUUCGCCAUUUAAAGUGGUACGCGAGCUGGGUUUAGAACGUCGUGAGACAGUUCGGUCCCUAUCUGCCGUGGGCGCUGGAGAACUGAGGGGGGCUGCUCCUAGUACGAGAGGACCGGAGUGGACGCAUCACUGGUGUUCGGGUUGUCAUGCCAAUGGCACUGCCCGGUAGCUAAAUGCGGAAGAGAUAAGUGCUGAAAGCAUCUAAGCACGAAACUUGCCCCGAGAUGAGUUCUCCCUGACCCUUUAAGGGUCCUGAAGGAACGUUGAAGACGACGACGUUGAUAGGCCGGGUGUGUAAGCGCAGCGAUGCGUUGAGCUAACCGGUACUAAUGAACCGUGAGGCUUAACCUU
rnacentral:rRNA from 1 species